rnacentral:lncRNA from 1 species
AGAGAUGAUCAGAAAAUGAAGGAGUAAAAACUCUACAUUUUUAUGGCUCAGAGAUCGUCACUGUGACUAGCUCAGGGUACAUCCUCCUGAAGAAACCGUGUCUCAGAAUAAGACAGAAUGUGUAUCCCGUUGGGUAGCCUGCUUUACACAACAGUCUCCAUCUCUCUAGUCUGCCACAUUUCUUCUCUAAUACCUGGUCUGUGUUCAAAUUGUGUGUUCUUUCUGGUAGCUUCGUUCAAACCAGUAACCAGUCCGU